GACGUACAGGAUCACCUCUCUGGUGUGUGACGAGUGGCCGACAGAUGCAGAGCCAGAAGAGCAUGAUGAGGUUGCUGAAACGAUUACCGACGGAACCUCCGCCUGUGGUGAUUCAGAAAGAAAUGAUACAGCCAGGGUGUGCAGCGAGCUGUCAUCAGAUGUAGAAUCAAAAGAACAUAAUGAGGGAGCUGACAAGGUGCCCGACAGUGCAACAGUUGGGGAUGAUGAUGAUUCAG